rnacentral:misc_RNA from 1 species
ACAGGUUUCUCAUCAAAGGUGAGGCGUUAUUCGUGUAAUAUGUAAAUAUUUGGAUUGUUCUUGUUAAUUAUAACCUUAAGUUUUAUCUUAGUAGUGGUUAUUUUGAAGCUUUUUUAUACGGUCUUUCUUGAUUUUAAUUGAUUGGGUCUCCAGCCAGACCGAAAUGCCUGCCUGUGGAGGAGCUCGCCAACGAAGAGAGGAAAACAAGCUGGAACUUUUCCGGUUCCUAGCUCAGAAUAAGUCGCCAAGCGAAACAAAUUGAGGUCGACUGGUACUGGUGGCGAGUCGGGCGGUUUGACCGACCUGGACGAGGUUGCUUUAAGCCUCGACGAUGGGACUUACGACUUCGUCGUCCCUGGCGCGCUGAGCAGCAUCGCUCCCCGGCCGCAGGAAGAGAGUGCUGGAGGUGAUGCCCGCGGCAGCGAAGCGGCGGUGUCGGAAGCGACCUGGCUGGGCACCGGGUCGGACAGCGUGGCCGGGGCUUCUCCGUUUCAUCCUUCCUGUGUGUCACCUAUGUCGAUCACCUCACUACUUGAUGAGCCUUCCACAUCCCUACUCUCUCAGCCAUCUCAGUCCACCACCUCUCUCCCAUCGCAGCCCACCGCCUCCCAGCCUACCGCCUCCCUCCCUUCCCAGCCUUACGCCUCCCAACCUACGGCCCCGCAUCCCUCCCAGCCUACCGCCUCCCUCACCUCCCAGCCCACCGCCUCCAUCGCUUCCCAGCCUACGGCCCCGCAUUCCUCCCAGCCUACCGCCUCCCAGCCCACCGCCGCAGCGAGGGCCGCCCGCAGUCUUCGCGACACCCUGUCCGACCGCACCGUCACGACACGGACCCUUGAGUCGUUCGUAGCUGAACGCAGGGAAGUGAGCGAGCGUCGCAGACUUUUACUAGCUGCACCGCUCGACUGCCUCCUGACAGAGGAGCUCACCGAGGUGGCCGAACAUUACAGGGCGAUCACCUACAAGAACAUGUCGCUGCUCUGAUUACGCUGUCUGCGACGCUCGCUCACGCCCACGCGUAACUCUUUCGCUGUUCUAUUAACUCGCUGAAGCUGUUUUUUUUUGUGCUGGCCACUGCAAAUGUUGUUGGCUUAAAAUGAAUAUGAUGUUUUCUGGUAAACAAGCGAUUUCUAUUUGA